rnacentral:rRNA from 1 species
GACGAACGCUGGCGGCGUGCUUAACACAUGCAAGUCGUACGGGCUUGAGGGGCAACUCUCAAGUCAGUGGCGAACGGGUGCGUAACACGUGAGCAACUUGCCCUAAGGUGGGGGAUAGCC